GAGUUUGAUUAUGGCUCAGGACGAACGCUGGCAGCGUGCUUAACACAUGCAAGUCGAACGGGAACCUUUAUUUCGGUAAGGGUGAGAGUGGCAAACGGGUGAGUAACACGUAGGCAACCUGCCGACAGGAUGGGGACAACAUUCCGAAAGGAAUGCUAAUACCGAAUGGAGUCCGGGGAUGGCAUCAUCCCCGGAUAAAAGAUGGCCUCUGAAUAUGCUAUCGCCUGUCGAUGGGCCUGCGUCUGAUUAGCUAGUUGGCGGGGUAACGGCCCACCAAAGCGACGAUCAGUAGCCGGUCUGAGAGGAUGAACGGCCACAUUGGGACUGAGACACGGCCCAGACUCCUACGGGAGGCAGCAGUGGGGAAUCUUCCACAAUGGGCGAAAGCCUGAUGGAGCAACGCCGCGUGAGUGAAGAAGGUCUUCGGAUCGUAAAGCUCUGUUGCACGGGACGAAAACCGGGUUUGAGAAUAUUGAACCCGG
rnacentral:rRNA from 1 species